AUAACGGUCCUAAGGUAGCGAAAUUCCUUGUCAGGUAAGUUCUGACCCGCACGAAUGGCGUAACGAUUUGGGCACUGUCUCAACAGCCCGCCCGGCGAAAUUGUUGUACUGGUGAAGAAGCCAGUUACCCGCAACUAGACGGAAAGACCCCAUGGAGCUUUACUGCAGCUUAAUACUGAAGAUUGGUAAUGCAUGUACAGGAUAGGUGGGAGCCUGAGAAACAGGGGCGUCAGCUUCUGCGGAGGCAGCCUUGGAAUACCACCCUUGUAUUGCUGGUUUUCUAACCUGCGGCCGUGAAUCCGGUCGGGGGACACUGUUAGGCGGGCAGUUUGACUGGGGCGGUCGCCUCCAAAAGAGUAACGGAGGCGCUCAAAGGUUCGUUCAGCACGGACGGAAAUCGUGCAUUGAGUGUAAACGCAUAAACGAGCCUAACUGCGAGACCGACGGGUCGAGCAGUAACGAAAGUUGGAGUUAGUGAUCCGGUGGUAUGUGAGUGGAAAUGCCAUCGCUCAACGGAUAAAAGCUACCCUGGGGAUAACAGGCUGAUCUCCCCCAAGCGUCCACAGCGACGGGGAGGUUUGGCACCUCGAUGUCGGCUCGUCACAUCCUGGGGCUGAAUUAGGUCCCAAGGGUUCGGCUGUUCGCCGAUUAAAGUGGCACGCGAGCUGGGUUCAGAACGUCGUGAGACAGUUCGGUCCCUAUCUGUUGCGGGCGCAGGAGAUUUGAAGGGAGCUGUCCCUAGUACGAGAGGACCAGGAUGGACAGACCUCUGGUGCACCAGUUGUCGUGCCAACGGCACAGCUGGGUAGCUACGUCUGGACGAGAUAAACGCUGAAGGCAUCUAAGCGUGAAACUCCCCCUAAGAUAAGAUCUCCCAUCCGAAAGGAGUAAGGGACGACGUGGACUAUGUCGUUGAUAGGCCGGAGGUGUAAGCACGGUAACGUGUUCAGCUGACCGGUACUAAUAACCCGAGGGCUUGACCUA
rnacentral:rRNA from 1 species